rnacentral:rRNA from 1 species
UACGUAGGCAGCGAGCGUUGUUCGGAGUUACUGGGCGUAAAGAGCUCGUAGGUGGUUUGUCGCGUUGUUCGUGAAAACUCACAGCUCAACUGUGGGCGUGCGGGCGAUACGGGCAGACUGGAGUACUGCAGGGGAGACUGGAAUUCCUGGUGUAGCGGUGGAAUGCGCAGAUAUCAGGAGGAACACCGGUGGCGAAGGCGGGUCUCUGGGCAGUAACUGACGCUGAGGAGCGAAAGCGUGGGGAGCGAACAGG